GUGGAAAGUUUUAAGUUCCUCGGCGUACAUAUCACCGACAAACUGAAAUGGUCCACGCACACAGACAGCGUGGUGAAGAAGGUGCAACAACAACCUCAAAAGGCUUAUAAAAUGUGUCUUGUCACUGAAAACCCUCACUAACUUUUACAGGUCCACAAUUGACAACAUCCUGUCGGGCUGUAUCACCGCCUGGUACGGCAACUGCAACGCCCACAACCACAGGGCUCUCCAGAGGGUGGUGCGGUCUGCACAACGCAACACCGACGUCACAGGAAGGCAAAAAAGAUCAUCAAGGACAACAACCACCCGAGCCACUGCCUGUUCACCCCGCUACCAUCCAGAAGGAUCCAACAAGAGUGUUUUUGUUUGUUUGUUAUUUUAAAUACAGCUUACGUUCGAAGGCAUGGGCAACUAUUAUUUAACGCGUGACAAGGAUAUAGGCUAUAGGCCUACAAAACGUGUCUGUUUGUCAGUGCUGCUUGCCUUGAAUGAGUUCCUAUUCACUGGGAGUUAUUGUGCAAUUUUGCAGUAGGCAUCACAUGCAACACUAUAUGGUAUGGAUGGACACAUGUUGCAAAUCAGCUCAUACACUGUAAAACUUUACCCAGUAUAUUUACAGCAUUAUAAUGGCAGCAGAGUUGCCAGCUAAAUAUUGUAAUUUUGCUUUACAUUCGGGAUGCUGUAAAAUGUUUUACAAUAAGAAAAACAGUGAUGUAUUAUACAAUACAGCAUUAUACUGUAAAUUAGCCUACUGUAAUCAUUAGUGCAACACAGCUGUAUUAUAUAAUUACAGUAAUUUGCUGGCAACUCUGCUGCCAGUAUAAAGCUGUAAAUGUACAGCACAGCAUGUUGCUAAAAAUCAGUAUUACAUUACUAAUUGUCUUGCUGUAAUAUUUGUACAUAAUUGUAAUGAAUAAAUGAAUGGAUUAAUUAAUUAACUCAAUUCAUUGAGGGGAGGCAGGGUUUGUAUUUUACAGUAUUUUACUGUAAUUGCAUGUGAUUGGUGCAAGCAGGUUGGCUGACAGGUCAAUUCUUUUCAUAUUACAGCAAAUCAAAUAUAUUUGAAUAUCACUUUGCACUUCUAGAGGCCUUGUGAAACUAAAACUUGAAAUUGAAAAACAGACCAAAGGACAACACAGACUUUCAACUGAAAUUAUUUGUUUGAAAGAUGUUAAAUAAAAGUGACUUUUGUCAAUCAUUAACUUUUCCCAUCACUUUAAAAAAGCAAAGAAAAAAGGGAAGUAUUGCAGUAAAAAAAUGUUUGUUGUUGAAAUUGUAAUAAUUAAAUAAAAACUCUUAGUAUCAGGGGCCAAUGAGACAAUAUGGCGCUGCUCCUAUAUGUAUUAAUAUGUAUGCAUUUAUUCAGACUAUAUUGCUUUGUCUUGCUUCAUUCUAUUGUUAAUGUUAUACUUUAUGCCAUUUGUCACUAUCAAUUAAACAGUUUACUGCAAGUCAUAUUGUUACAGUAUAUAGGCCUACAGUUGCAAAUGUGCUGGGAAGGGGAGGAGUGAAAUGGGUGAGUAUCACGGGGUCUGACGGGGGGCGGGACAUCUGCCCUGAUUUGACCUAAUGAAUGGGAAAAUGUACAUUGAUUGACACUUUCCGUUGGGUUGCUCUACCCUCCCAUCAGUAAAAGUAAUGUCUAUUUUUUUUUAUUUUUUUUUGUCGAACGGAUUCAUUUUGCUUUCCUUAUUUAGAUGGAAAAUAUAAAUAUAUUCGUUUCUUUUAUAGUUUUUAAUAAAAUGCAUUUAGAAUCCAUGUUUAAUCAAAUGUGUCGGUUUGUUUCCUGUCUGAUACAUUCCUCACAAUGUACAAUAGGCUAAUAGAGAAUUUCCAAGUGACAAGCAAGUAGGAAUAUUUAUUGUAAAUUACUAAAUUAUAAUAGUUCAUAAAGCCACUGUUUUAUUUUGUGUAGCUUAUAGUCUUGCAAUUUGUAAACUAUUUGUAAACUAUUUAGGAAGAUAUUACAAUUUGUAAAUUGAUUGUGAAGGCCAUAGGCUUGGUAUAAUUUCAACAACAACAACAAAAUCAUAAUUUUCCAAUCAACAAAAUUGUAAAUAAUUGUCUAUCAUUAGAAGCAGAAUUUGGAACAACUGCUGGCAGUGAAUUGGCCAUUUAAGUUCAAGGUAGGUUUCAUUGUGAUGGCCUAUAGCUAAUACUAAUGGCAGUAUAGACUACAAAGUACAACGUAUAGGGGCCAUAUGAUCAACUGAAUUUGUAACAUUUUGUUAUUCUGUAACGUUUACAUUGUCUACAGAGAAAGAUAUGCAACAGACGUUGAUCCAACGCCACCCCUACAGACUUUCUCUGGCCCUCAUGUCACAUUGGCCCUUAAACCGACGGGGUCUGUACUCUGUAUGCCUCAGCUAUCAACAGAACGGCCCUGCAUGGUUGGAGCCUGUUCAAUGUAUAGGCCUAUCAGUCAACGGUUUCUAAGUUAAAACCCCCUACCCAGAGUACUCGAGGUCCAGGGUUAGACAGACAUGCAGCAUCACUUUCCUGAAGACAUUGCUCUCGUUCCACUCUAAUUUAGUGUAGUUCCCUAAAGCUUUAAUGCAUUUUUUUUUGUGGGUAAAAAACCCCACCUCAACAAUGUUGAUAACAAGGCGCCAGCCAACGUGUCACAUUGUUCCUCUAAGCCAAUCAGAAACGAAAGGAUUCAGAGGGAAAAGUUCUAUACAUCCGUAUCCCCACCUCUUACUUAGCCACAUGACCAGACAUGAACAACGACGGAGAC
rnacentral:lncRNA from 1 species